UUUCUUCAUUUCCUGCGUGAGAACAAUAUUUUGUGAGAGGCCAAUUUCAAAAGCAGAGAAACACUUUUACAUUAUAAAAAAGCUCGUUCCAGAAGCCCCUUUGGGUUCUGGACGAGUUUGAUGUAGAAGUUUUUUCUUCUUCGAAACGUUUCGGAGGGGAGCCCUGUAGAACGAACAAGGCUCGCUUUGAAAUCUUUGCGGCUCAAGAACGCUGUUUACCUUUGGGGUGUUGGUGGAAAAGAGAGAUGAUGAUCAGAUGGUGGGUAGCUGCACUGCAAUUGGCAGAGCUUUUUGUGAGCUCGCUGGUGCAUUUGCUAUAUGGGUUUUACAUAUUCAGCACAGCCGUGGCGGGUGAUCUCUCCCUCGCUCUGAAUGAGUGCUUGUUUAAACCUAAUAUGAAUGCGGAGGUCAAAGAGGACGUGCCCAGAGGGCUGACCGCCAAUGCUGAAAAUCUGCCUCCUAUUGUAUUGGUCCAUGGAAUAUUUGGAUUUGGCAAAGGGAGAUUGGGAGGUUUGUCGUACUUCGCGGGGGCAGAGAAGAAAGAUGAAAGGGUUCUGGUGCCUGAUUUGGGCUCUCUAACCAGCGUUUACGAUCGGGCUCGCGAAUUGUUUUACUAUUUGAAAGGCGGGCAGGUGGAUUACGGCGAAGAACACAGCAAGGCUUGUGGGCACUCGCAGUUCGGACGGGUUUACGAACAAGGGCACUACCCAGAAUGGGAUGAGGAUCACCCUAUUCACUUUGUGGGGCACUCGGCCGGAGCACAGGUUGUUCGGGUAUUGCAGCAAAUGCUCGCCGAUAAGGCAUUCAAGGAGUAUGAGAACACUUCAGAGAACUGGGUAUUGAGCAUCACAUCCCUGUCAGGAGCGUUCAAUGGGACUACAAGAUCCUACUUAGAUGGGAUGCAGCCAGAAGACGGGAGAACCUUGAAACCUAUAUGUCUAUUGCAGUUGUGCCGCCUAGGGGUAACAAUAUAUGAUUGGUUUGACAUUCCCUGGCUGAAAAAAUAUUACAAUUUUGGGUUUGAUCACUUCAACAUGUCAUGGAAGAAAAUUGGUGUUUGGGGUCUUGUUGAUUGCCUCUUGGGGAAUUCAGGCCCAUUUGCUUCAAGAGACUGGAUCCUUCCUGAUCUUACAAUUCAAGGGUCCAUGCGACUCAACUGCCGUCUGCAGACCUUUCCAAAUACAUAUUACUUCAGCUAUGCUACCAGGCGUACUAGGAAGAUAUUGGGUGUCACAGUUCCUUCUAGCAUACUUGGCAUCCACCCAUUGCUUUUUAUAAGAGUAUUGCAGAUGAGUCAAUGGCGUCAUCCUCCAGAUGUCUCUCCCCCUUAUAAGGGAUACAGGGAUGAGGAUUGGCAAGACAAUGAUGGAGCACUCAACACCAUAUCCAUGACUCACCCUCGUCUUCCAAUUGAACAUCCAAGUCGUUUUGUUGAAAAUUAUUCAGAGUGCCAAACGUUAGAACCGGGCAUCUGGUACUACAAGAUUGUGGAAGCUGAUCAUAUAUUGUUCAUUGUGAACCGGGAGAGAGCAGGAGUUCAAUUUGAUCUGAUUUAUGAUAGCAUAUUUGAACGCUGCAGAAAGCAUGUAUUUAGGAAGACCUCACCAACAUUACCAAACGAAGUACACCAAUAAUUUUUUUGUAUCUGUUUCUCUCACUUCAGACGCUGCAACCAGAAAGAAAUAAUUUAUCUCCCUGGUGGAAUUGAGGUUAAUGAAAUUCAAUCAAAGCAAGCCAUCUUCCUGGAAUUGAGAUGUAGGGAUGAAGAUUUCCCUAGAAUCUCUAGCAGUGGGUGUGUACAGAUAUAUUAAUGACAACGUGUAAUGCACCAUGAGCGACUGAUGUUGAGCUUGAAUGUUGGUUAAACUCAAAUAUGUGUUGUUUGCUAGUGUUUUCUAACCACUAAAUGGUCCCGGCCCUUGCCAAAUAGAGGGUCUUAACUGCUAAGCCGGAAUCAUUAGCCUUAGCUCAAGGCAAGGCUUUAAAUUGCAUCAUUGAGAAUUGCCUAAGGGUAGCCAAAUUGGUUGAGAACCGAUAAAGCAAAUGUCAAUAGUUUGAAUCUUUCUUUCCUUGUC